rnacentral:lncRNA from 1 species
CCUGGCUCAAAAGCUCCCCUACUGAGUACCUUGUGACCCCCACUCCUGCCCGCCAGAGAACAACCCCCCUUUUUCCUUUACCUACCCAAAUCCUAUAAAACAGCCCCAUCCUAUCUCCCUUCGCUGACUCUCUUUUCGGACUCAGCCCGCCUGCACCCAGGUGAUUAAAAGCUUUAUUGCUCACACAAAGCCUGUUUGGUGGUCUCUUCACACGGACGCGCAUGAAAGAAAUUACUUUUUUUCAAGAAUGAGUUCAUGUCCUUUGCAGGGACAUGGAUGAAGCUGGAAGGCACCAUUCUCAGCAAACUAACACAGGAACAGAAAACCAAACACCGCAUGUUUUCACUCAUAAAUGUGUCCGCAUUUGGUACAACGUUCGUCAAAGAGGAUGAGGUUACCGGGAUUGUCACUGAUGUGUUUAAAUGACUGCGCCAGCCUCCAGAGAAUAAGAUCUGUAUUCAUUGAUUCAUUUAACCAAUAUUCAGGUGACUACCACAUGCAAUACCACACUCUUAUCUAGGCAACUUGAGUCACUGAGCUCAGUCCAGAAUCUUGAUGACUGAAUGGAAACACCAAGGAGGUGGGUGGCUCAAGAGCACGAGAGCUCUUGUUCCAUUUUCUUGCAGUUUCUUUGUAAGCAUGGAAUCUUUUAAUGUGUCCUGUGGUGUUUAGAUUGCUCAUAGACCCUAACAUUAGAGUUAAUUCUUGUUCAGUUUUGGUAGAUUUUAGUUCCAUUGGAGACUAAUGAGAACACUGAAAACAAAGCAAAAAUAGAAGAAUAGUUAUUCUAUUGGCAGAAAUGGCAAACCUAGUUAUAAGUUAUCAAAAUUAGAAUGUAAUUAAAGUUAUUCUGAUAGUGAUACUGAAGCUAUUUAUUCUCAUAGUACUGUUUUAUUUAUGAAUUUGAGCUAUUGUUAUUAUGCAAAGCUAAUAUUUACAUGUUUUUGUUUUGUUCUGUUUUACUUUUUCCAUUAUUUUUCUAGGCAAGGAAUAUCAAGUAAUAAUCAUCUAGGCAAUGGCAUCUAUUUUUUUUUUCCAUAGGUCUCAUAGUGUUAAGAUUUCCUUUAUGGUCUUACUCUUAUCUCUCUGUUUUG